rnacentral:rRNA from 1 species
UAGGGAAUAUUGCGCAAUGGGCGAAAGCCUGACGCAGCAACGCCGCGUGAAGGAUGAAGGCCUUCGGGUCGUAAACUUCUGUCAGAUGGGAAGAAGGUUUGUAGGUUAAGAGCUAGUGAACUUGACGGUACCAUCAGAGGAAGUCCCGGCUAACUCCGUGCCAGCAGCCGCGGUAAUACGGAGGGGGUUAGCGUUGUUCGGAAUUACUGGGCGUAAAGCGCACGUAGGCGGACCAGAAAGUUGGGGUGAAAUCCCGGGGCUCAACCCCGGAACUGCCUCCAAAACUAUUGGUCUAGAGUUCGAGAGAGGUGAGUGGAAUUCCAAGUGUAGAGGUGAAAAUUCGUAGAUAUUUGGAGGAACACCAGUGGCGAAGGCGGCUCACUGGCUCGAUACUGAC